AUUGAACGCUGGCGGCAGGCCUAACACAUGCAAGUCGGGCGAUUUUGACUUCGGUCAGAAGAGCGGCGAACGGGUGAGUAACACGUAGGAAUCUGCCUGGUAGUGGGGGACAACGUCUCGAAAGGAACGCUAAUACCGCAUACGCCCUACGGGGGAAAGCCGGGGAUCUUCGGACCUGGCGCUAUCAGAUGAGCCUGCGUCGGAUUAGCUAGUUGGCGGGGUAAAGGCCCACCAAGGCGACGAUCCGUAACUGGUCUGAGAGGAUGAUCAGUCACAGCGGAACUGAGACACGGUCCGGACUCCUACGGGAGGCAGCAGUGGGGAAUAUUGGACAAUGGGGGCAACCCUGAUCCAGCCAUGCCGCGUGUGUGAAGAAGGCCUUCGGGUUGUAAAGCACUUUAGGUCGGGAGGAAGGUUCGCUGGCUAAUAUCCAGCGGAAUUGACGUUACCGACAGAAUAAGCACCGGCUAACUCCGUGCCAGCAGCCGCGGUAA
rnacentral:rRNA from 1 species